rnacentral:rRNA from 1 species
GACGAACGCUGGCGGCGUGCCUAAUACAUGCAGGUCGAGCGGACCACUUCGGUGGUCAGCGGCGGACGGGUGAGUAACACGUGGGCAACCUGCCUGUAAGACUGGGAUAACGCCGGGAAACCGGUGCUAAUACCGGAUAAUCCUUUCCUUCACAUGAAGGAAAGCUGAAAGACGGUUUCGGCUGUCACUUACAGAUGGGCCCGCGGCGCAUUAGCUAGUUGGUGAGGUAACGGCUCACCAAGGCAACGAUGCGUAGCCGACCUGAGAGGGUGAUCGGCCACACUGGGACUGAGACACGGCCCAGACUCCUACGGGAGGCAGCAGUAGGGAAUCUUCCGCAAUGGACGAAAGUCUGACGGAGCAACGCCGCGUGAGCGAUGAAGGCCUUCGGGUCGUAAAGCUCUGUUGUCAGGGAAGAACAAGUACCGGAGUAACUGCCGGUACCUUGACGGUACCUGACCAGAAAGCCACGGCUAACUACGUGCCAGCCGCCGCCGUAACAC